GUGGACACGAUCCACAGUCAGCUGAGUUGUUUAGGGUCAUGAGAGGACGAAUCUGGUCCCCUCCUUUCCUGACCUUGGACCUGGAACUAGUGGUUGACCACUGUGAUGCUUCUAAGAGACAGACAAAAUCUUUCAUUUUUGAGCCGACUUAGAGACCACAUUUGAUGUGUGCUGUGACCUGCUCUCGGGAAAUUGCUGCUUCUUGCGCAGAGGUGUGUCCUGUCUGAGAGUUGGAUGAGGGAUGCAGGGACUGACCUCCCCCCUCCCUCUGCUGCCUGCAGGGUGGGAAGGAGUACCUGAUGCGGGCCCACUUCGGACUCCCCAGUGUGGAAGCUGAGGACAAGGAGGGGAAGCCACCCAUCAGUGUGAAGUUUGAAAUCCCCUAUUUCACCACCUCUGGGAUCCAGGUCCGCUACUUGAAGAUCAUUGAGAAGAGUGGCUAUCAGGCGUUGCCUUGGGUGCGCUACAUCACCCAGAACGGGGAUUACCAACUCCGGACAUAAUCGGAAGCACCUGCCUGCCACAGACCAGAGAACAGCUCUUGGCUUCCAGUCCAGAGAGGCGUCUGGUGGUCCUGGAAGGGCUUGGCGGUGGCUGCGGGAGCUGGCUGGCUGCAAGCGGGGUCAGGCCCAGCCCUCGACACUGUGCUUGGGCCAGGAGGCUGCAGGACUUGCCAAUGUUCGUUUGUUUUGUUCUGUUCAGUGUUGAGCAUGUUAGCAGCUGCCCUGAGAGGAAGCCAGGAGCUGGUCUCCGGGAAGCCUGUUCCAUCUGACUUCUCAGCUCCCGGAGCUCAGCCGCCUCCUCCUCCUCCUCCUCCUCCUCCCCGCUUCCUCUUGAAGCCAUUUGUAUUAGCCAAAUCUCUCUUGCCCGGGGACCCCCUGCUGCUGCUGCUGCUGCUGCCACUUCUGAAUGCUAACCAGUCCCAGUCCCUCCCUGUAGUCUUUCCCCUGGAAACCCCCGAGAAGCCAGCUUUGCUCCGGGCUGUGCUGCUUUGCAAGGAAAUCCUCAUCUAGGUGUCUGAAGAUAGCCCGCUGGCUCUUGCCAAAGGGCGUUCGGCAUGGAGGCCUCAGCUGUUUUGCACAGCACAUGCUGACAUGCAAUGGAGAGAGGACAUCCCGUUCGUGGCCGUCCAGGUCGCACAGAUCAUAGCUGAGGCGGCAGGCUUGUGUCUGGACUGUGCUGCUUCUGACGCUUGCGUGAUUGAGCAGUCCUUCGUUAGAAAAGAAAAUCCCUGCUCAGAAUGAGGUGUCGCAGAGAAGGAAUCUAGCCUGACAGGCUGGUUCUCUGGAUGGCAGGAAUUUUGGUCUGGAGGAAUAUUUGAUCAUGUGAGCCCCCGCCUGAAGUCAUACGGUCCAGGUAGGGGGUUGCCAGGUCAUUUGCUCUUUGUGAGAGAACUUGGCCAUAAACACGCCUGUUGCAAUGAGAGCCCAGUGAGUGGUGCACGAUAACAGAUGGUCCAAGCUGCCCGCUUGAAGGAGCCUGGCUCAAGAGCUGAGUGAGGGGGAAAUGGAAGGCAGGCCUGGGCUUCCUCCACAUCUAGGUCCAUUUGUUCCAUCGGAGAGAUCCCUUCUCUGCACCUGUUCUAGCAGAAAGGCCACUAUUUCCCUGUGCUUGUUUAGCUUUCCUCCUGUUAGUUGAUCCCUUCCUCUUUGGAGCUGCGGGUUUCAAUUUCAUGACUUGUUUACAAUGUCUACUAAAUCAGUGUUGGCUGCUGGAAAAGCAGAUGUUAAAUGUGAGUUUCGGAACCUGAUGCCCACCCUGUGUCUGACAGCUUUGGAGGUUGGAAACGGCUGUCUCUGGAAACGUGGCUCCUAUGGUGCUCUGCUUGGCCAAAUGGAAACCCUGAAGGCAAGGCAGAGCAUGAAUGGGGACGUCUUGUGGCCUUCUGCUACGGUGGAAAACGCCGCUCCACUGCUGGGGGUGGAGUGUUGCUUCAGCACUGCCAAUGGUGGCUCCCAAGAGCUGGGCACCGGCCACCCGCUGCCUCCCUCCAUCUGUCAGAAACAUUGUCAAGGAUGCAUCAUGUCUUCAAAAGGUCAUUGUUGGUGUUUCCUAAACGUCUGUUGAGAUAAACUACCUUGCUUGAUUGAGA